AAUUCUUCUUUAGAAAUUUCUCCCAGUGUCACCUCAGUGAUCUACAGCCAAAUGCGACUCCCAGGAAAGAUCAUAAACUGAAUUAGUCUUGAAGUUAAGACAUCUCUGAGCUCUGUGGACAGCUUCUGUGGUUAAAUGUUUUCUUCAAAAUAAUACAUAAUUGACAGUCCAGACAAGGAGGAAUGUGUGGAAGCAGAAGUUCAGCAUUCCCACUGUGUAAUGUGUCCUCUAAGACAAAGUCGAGUAGGGCCGUUAUGAGAGUAAUGGCUGUUUCUGUUAGAGAAGCUAUUGUACUGUACGGCUAUUGUACCGUACAGCUGUCGUGCUGCUCAGCUGUUGUAACCUACAGCUAUUGUAGAACUGUUGUACUAUAUAGCUGUUGUAACUAACGUACAGCUAUUGUAACC
rnacentral:lncRNA from 7 species